rnacentral:rRNA from 1 species
UGCCCUAGUAACGGCGAGUGAAGCGGCAACAGCUCAAAUUUGAAAUCUGGCUACCUUUCGUAGUCCGAGUUGUAAUUUGUAGAGGAUGCUUUUGGUGAGGUGCCUUCCGAGUUCCCUGGAACGGGACGCCAUAGAGGGUGAGAGCCCCGUACGGUUGGAUACCAAGCCUCUGUAUAGCUCCUUCAACGAGUCGAGUAGUUUGGGAAUGCUGCUCUAAAUGGGAGGUAUAUCUCUUCUAAAGCUAAAUAUAGGCUAGAGACCGAUAGCGCACAAGUAGAGUGAUCGAAAGAUGAAAAGCACUUUGAAAAGAGAGUUAAACAGCACGUGAAAUUGUUGAAAGGGAAGCGCCUAUGACCAGACUUGUUUCUGGCAGUUUCGUUAGCCCUCGGGCUGAUUUACUCUGUCCAGUACAGGCCAGCAUCAGUUUGCUGUCGGGGAGAAAGGCUCUGGGAACGUAGCUCCCCCCUUCUGGGGGGAGUGUUAUAGCCCUCUGCAUAAUACCCUUCGGCAGACUGAGGACCGCGCUUCGGCAAGGAUGCUGGCGUAAUGGUCAUCAGCGACCCGUCUUGAAACACGGACCAAGGAGUCAACCUUAUGUGCGAGUGUUUGGGUGUAAAACCCCAGCGCGUAAUGAAAGUGAACGUAGGUGAGAGCUUCGGCGCAUCAUCGACCGAUUCUGAUGUUUUCGGAUGGAUUUGAGUAAGAGCACACAGGGUUGGACCCGAAAGAAGGUGAACUAUGCUUGUAUAGGGUGAAGCCAGAGGAAACUCUGGUGGAGGCUCGCAGCGGUUCUGACGUGCAAAUCGAUCGUCAAAUAUGAGCAUGGGGGCGAAAGA